AGCGGCAGAGGGUGCCGCAGAACGAACAAUUCUCUCGCCUUUUACUAGAGAAUUCCGUGUUGUGCCCUCACAAUUGCCGCGUUUACGAAUUUUUCAAAGCUCGGUUCGCCUGAGUA
rnacentral:snRNA from 1 species